rnacentral:lncRNA from 1 species
CCUUUUAUUCUCUAAUCUUAAUUUUUUAAGGGCAUUAUUCUUUAAUCAUUUAACCCCAUCCAAACCCUCUUGUAUAUAUUCCAGACCAUAUGAGUAUUUGAACCGUACACCUAUAUUCGUGUGGUGGGACCAUAUGUGUACGGUCAGACCAAUAUAUAUGAGUAUACUAAUACAGUCUAGUUAGGACUAACUGGCCCCUAUAUGUAUUUCGACCCUAGGGGUUAAUUUUUGACAAACAUGUAUCAAAAUCUGUUAUUGAAUAUAUAUACAAACAUAAAAAUUAAUAUUAUGAAAAUUAGAUGAAUGGAGUGAAAUAUAUCAUCAUAUCACCAACCCUAAUAAUCUGGAAACAACUAUUAUU